UACAGAGGGUGCGAGCGUUGUCCGGAAUCACUGGGCGUAAAGGGCGCGUAGGCGGCCUGAUAAGUAGGGGGUGAAAUCCUGUGGCUUAACUGCAGGGCUGCCUCCUAGACUGUUAGGCUCGAGCACGGUAGAGGCAGAUGGAAUUCCCGGUGUAGCGGUGGAAUGCGUAGAGAUCGGGAAGAACAUCGGUGGCGAAGGCGGGUCUCUGGGCCGAUACUGACGCUGAGGAGCGAAAGCGUGGGGAGCGAACAGG
rnacentral:rRNA from 1 species